GAUGCUGCAUUUGCUUCUGCUGCUGCUACUCUUCGGGCUGUGGCAAGAUGCUGCCCCCUCUGUGAACAUCAGUAAUUUUUUGAGAAACUGCACAGUGCCCCUAGUUCCAAUGACCAUGAGCAAUGACACAUCGCCGAUUGUCCAGGAGGGCCAGUCCCUGCACCUUGUCUGCACGGCUGACAACAACUCCUCUUCCUCCCUGAGCUGGUUAUGGAAGAGUAGGGACCUGAAUUCCUCUCAGGUCUCAGCAUCCAGGGUCCUGGAGCUGUGCUCUGUAGGGCCUCAGGAUGGACAGGAAUUUACUUGCCAAGUUCAUCACCCUCUGGGCUUCCAGAACUUUUCUUUGAAACUCUUUGUGCAGGCCCAUCCUUUUACCCGUGUGCAGCUGAGAAGCAGGAGGGCUCCUGGCCCCUGUGCCUCACUCUCAUCAUAGCGGUUGGCAUGGUAGCUGGUUCUCUCCUCACUUAUGUCCUCACUUGGAUCUACUACACCAGGUGUGGGGGUGCCCAGGAGCACAACAGCGUAAAGCCUCAAAGUCCCACUUCUUCUUGAUUCCACACUGAUCUGUGGACAUGAAGACCCAGUGGACAUGUGUGGGGACAUUACUGUCAGUAUUUCCCUGCAAAUUCUCAAAUCGCACCUACAAUGAUCAUCGGAGCCCGUCGUCAAGAACUGAUCCUGGUGCCCCACAUCCAGUCCUCAGACAAGUGCCAGACUUUGGGACUUGUCCAAUUGCUACUUCAAAGUUUCCUUGUUAGAAGCUUUUGUAAAUGAGGAGGUGAGGAGAGUGGAAGGGAAGGGAAGGCCAUGGGGGAAAAUCAAGUGAUAUCAUGUACAGACAGGUACAAAUUCUCGAUAAUGAAUGCCAUUAUUAUGUAUAUUUAAAAUGUACCAAUAAAAUCUGAUUAAGAAAA